AGAGUUUGAUCCUGGCUCAGGAUGAACGCUGGCGGCGUGCCUAAUACAUGCAAGUCGAACGAGGUAGCAAUACCGAGUGGCGAACGGGUGAGCAACACGUAGGUAACCUGCCUUACAGUUUGGGAUACCCUGGGGAAACCUAGGCUAAUACCGAAUAAUUGGAUUGGAGGCAUCUCCGAUCUCUAAAAGGGGCCCUUAAAGCCUCGCUGAAUGAUGGACCUGCGGCGCAUUAGCUAGUUGGUGAGAUAACAGCCCACCAAGGCGAGGAUGCGUAGCCGACCUGAGAGGGUGAACGGCCACACUGGAACUGAGACACGGUCCAGACUCCUACGGGAGGCAGCAGUAGGGAGUUUUCGGCAAUGGGGGAAACCCUGACCGAGCAACGCCGCGUGAAUGAUGAAGGUCUUCGGAUUGUAAAGUUCUGUUGUAAGGGAAAAACGAUAUGGUGAGGAAAUGCUCCAUAUUUGAUGGUACCUUAUUAGAAAGCCACGGCUAACUACGUGCCAGCAGCCGCGGUAAUACGUAGGUGGCAAGCGUUAUCCGGAAUUAUUGGGCGUAAAGAGUGAGCAGGCGGCAUGGUAAGUUUGAAGUGAAAGCGUGGGGCUUAACCCCAUACAGCUUCGAAAACUGCCAAGCUAGAGUACGGGAGAGGUAAACCGAACUCCAUGUGUAGCGGUGAAAUGCGUAGAUAUAUGGAAGAACACCAGUGGCGAAGGCGGUUUACUAGCCCGAUACUGACGCUCAGUCACGAAAGCGUGGGGAGCAAAUAGGAUUAGAUACCCUAGUAGUCCACGCCGUAAACGAUGUCUACUAAAUAUUGCAGUGAUGCAGUGUUGAAGCUAACGCAUUAAGUAGACCGCCUGGGGAGUACGGUCGCAAGACUGAAACUUAAAGGAAUUGACGGGGACCCGCACAAGCAGUGGAGCAUGUGGUUUAAUUCGAAGCAACGCGAAGAACCUUACCAGGGCUUGACAUCCUCGGACAGUCCCAGAGAUGGGAUCUUCCUUCGGGACCGAGAGACAGGUGGUGCAUGGUUGUCGUCAGCUCGUGUCGUGAGAUGUUUGGUUAAGUCCAAUAACGAGCGCAACCCCUGUGGUCAGUUGCCAUCAUUUAGUUGGGAACUCUGACAAGACUGCCACGGACAACGUGGAGGAAGGAGGGGACGACGUCAAAUCAUCAUGCCCCUUAUGUCCUGGGCUACACACGUAAUACAAUGGCAACGACAGAGGGUCGCUACUCCGCGAGGAGAUGCUAAUCCCCAAACGUUGUCCCAGUUCGGACUGCAGGCUGCAACCCGCCUGCACGAAGUCGGAAUUGCUAGUAAUGGCAGGUCAGCAUACUGCCGUGAAUACGUUCCCGGGCCUUGUACACACCGCCCGUCACACCAUGAGAGUCUGCAAUACCCGAAGUCAGUAGCCUAACCUUUUGGAGGGCGCUGCCGAAGGUAGGGCCGAUAAUUGGGGUGAAGUCGUAACAAGGUA
rnacentral:rRNA from 1 species